UACGUAGGGGGCAAGCGUUGUCCGGAUUUACUGGGCGUAAAGCGCGUGUAGGCGGAAGCGAAAGUCCGGUGUGAAAGCCUUGAGCUCAACUCAAGAAAUGCACUCGGUACUGGGUGACUAGAGGACCGGAGAGGAUAGUGGAAUUCCCAGUGUAGUGGUGAAAUACGUAGAGAUUGGGAAGAACACCAGUGGCGAAGGCGGCUAUCUGGACGGUUUCUGACGCUAAGACGCGAAAGCGUGGGGAGCAAACAGG
rnacentral:rRNA from 1 species